rnacentral:rRNA from 1 species
UGAGGAAUAUUGGUCAGUGGGCGAGCGCCUGAACCAGCUACGUCGCGUGCAGGAUGACGGCCCUAUUUGUUGUAAACUGCUUUUAUAUGGGAAUAAAGUGAGGGACGUGUCCCUUAUUGCAUGUACCAUACGAAGAAGGACCGGCUAAUUCCGUGCCAGCAGCCGCGGUAAUACGGAAGGUCCAGGCGUUAUCCGGAUUUAUUGGGUUUAAAGGGAGCGUAGGCUGUUUGUUAAGCGUGUUGUGAAAUGUAGGAGCUCAACUUUUAGAUUGCAGCGCGAACUGGCAGACUUGAGUGCGGACAACGUAGGCGGAAUUAAUGGUGUAGCGGUGAAAUGCUUAGAUAUCAUGACGAACACCGAUGGCGGAGGCAGCUUACGGGAGCGCAAAUGACGAUAAAGCUGGAAGGUGGGGGUAGCGAACAGG